rnacentral:rRNA from 1 species
AUUGAACGCUGGCGGCAUGCCUUACACAUGCAAGUCGAACGGCAGCGGGGACUUCGGUCCGCCGGCGAGUGGCGAACGGGUGAGUAAUGUAUCGGAACGUACCAUUGAGUGGGGGAUAACUAUCCGAAAGGAUAGCUAAUACCGCAUAUUCUCUCCGGAGGAAAGCAGGGGACCGCAAGGCCUUGCGCUCAUUGAGCGGCCGAUAUCAGAUUAGCUAGUUGGUGAGGUAAAGGCUCACCAAGGCGACGAUCUGUAGCGGGUCUGAGAGGAUGGUCCGCCACACUGGAACUGAGACGCGGUCCAGACUCCUACGGGAGGCAGCAGUGGGGAAUUUUGGACAAUGGGGGCAACCCUGAUCCAGCCAUGCCGCGUGAGUGAAGAAGGCCUUCGGGUUGUAAAGCUCUUUCGGCCGGGAAAAAAUCGCAUGGGUUAAUACCCUGUGUGGAUGAUGGUACCGGAAUAAGAAGCACCGGCUAACUACGUGCCAGCCGCCGCAGUAACAC